AACGGUGCGCCGGGCGACUCCCGAAAGGGUAAAGAUUAGGCCUCCAUCAAUGGGGUCGCGGUCGGUCAAUUGGGUGGCUCACCCACCAUUUCUGGUGAAGGGCCGGCGAGGGUUGGCUGGUGAGGCGCCAUUCGAGAAGGGCUACAAUUGGUACGUGCAAGAAAUAGGCCAAUUCGGGGCUUUUUGCUCAAUUUCAUGCGAACUCAAAUUCUCAUCGGUACGAGUCAAGGGAACAGCCCCCCGUCCUUUGAUUUCCAUAUAAAGAACACGACGAGCAUAGAAAAUGGGAUCAGCCCCCAUUGUGUAUUGGUACUUAUUGGAUAUAGAAUAGAUCUGCUUCUCUUUGUUCCUACGAACCGAAUUGUUCGAUUUUUACUUCUAUAUGAAAAUACGGAAUUGUC